rnacentral:tRNA from 1 species
GAGGGUAUAACUCAGGUGGUAGAGCACAUGCUUAGCAUGCAUGAGGUCCUGGGUUCAAUCCUCAGUACCUCCU